rnacentral:lncRNA from 1 species
UGUUAGCUGUCUGCCUGGCAUGGUUCAUCUGACCUUGACCUCAUUUUCAAGGUUCAUUGGUCUUUGUUUAGUUAUCUUGGUUAAUGUUAAGUUUAUGUGACAGUUGUAAUAAAACUUAGCUUUAUACUUAGGACUAUCAACAUAAUAUCAAUGAUUAGUAUAGAAGGUGAGACAUUUCAGCAUGUGCACUCUUGUAUAAAUUUUGAACUAAAA